rnacentral:rRNA from 1 species
UCGCCUGUUUUUUACAAAAACAUCGCCUCUUGAUUAAACAUAAGAGGUCCAGCCUGCCCAGUGACAUAGUUUAACGGCCGCGGUACCCUAACCGUGCGAAGGUAGCAUAAUCACUUGUUCUUUAAAUAGGGACUCGUAUCAACGGCAUCACGAGGGCUAUACUGUCUCCUUUCUCCAAUCAAUGAAACUGAUCUCCCCGUGAAGAAGCGGGGAUUAACCUAUAAGACGAGAAGACCCCAUGGAGCUUCAAACUCAACAUAUACCUCUACGCACUUAAACCACUUUAGCCCAAGAGACCUCUAUGUUAGUUUUGGGUUGGGGGGACCGCGGAGUAAAAAUUAACCUCCACGACAAACGGGCUUUAUGCCCUUAUCCACGAACUACAACUCUAAGAAUCAAUAAACUGAUGUUUAUGACCCGAUUAUUCGAUCAACGAACCAAGUUACCCUGGGGAUAACAGCGCAAUCUACUUCAAGAGCCCCUAUCGACAAGUAGGUUUACGACCUCGAUGUUGGAUCAGGGUAUCCUAGUGGUGCAGCCGCUACUAAUGGUUCGUUUGUUCAACGAUUAAAACCCUACGUGAUCUGAUUCCCAGACCGGA